GGUGCAUGGUUGUCGUCAGCUCGUGUCGUGAGAUGUUGGGUUAAGUCCCGCAACGAGCGCAACCCCUACGUUUAGUUUGCUAACAGGUGAAGCUGAGCACUCUAGACGAACUGCCGUUGACAAAACGGAGGAAGGUGGGGAUGACGUCAAAUCAUCAUGCCCCUUAUGUUCUGGGCUACACACGUGCUACAAUGGCCGGUACAGACGGAGGCGAAGCCGCGAGGCGGAGCAAAUCCGAAAAAGCUGGCCUCAGUUCAGAUUGCAGGCUGCAACCCGCCUGCAUGAAGAUGGAGUUGCUAGUAACCGCAGGUCAGCAAUACUGCGGUGAAUACGUUCCCGGGCCUU
rnacentral:rRNA from 1 species